UGCAUGUCUAAGUACAUGCCGUAUUAAGGCGAAACCGCGAAUGGCUCAUUAAAUCAGUCUUGGUUCCUUGGAUCGUACCUUACUACUUGGAUAACUGUGGCAAUUCUAGAGCUAAUACAUGCAGCAGAGCUCCGACCUUCGGGGACGAGCGCUUUUAUUAGACCAAAACCAAUCGGACCUCGUGUCCGUCUCUUGUGGUGACUCUGUAUAACUUUGGGCUGAUCGCACGGGCCCGUCCCGGCGACGUAUCUUUCAAGUGUCUGCCUUAUCAACUUUCGAUGGUAGGUUACGCGCCUACCAUGGUCGUAACGGGUAACGGGGAAUCAGGGUUCGAUUCCGGAGAGGGAGCCUGAGAAACGGCUACCACAUCCAAGGAAGGCAGCAGGCGCGCAAAUUACCCACUCCCAGAACGGGGAGGUAGUGACGAAAAAUAACAAUACGGGACUCUUUUGAGACCCCGUAAUUGGAAUGAGUACACUCUAAAUCCUUUAACGAUGACCAAUCGGAGGGUAAGUCUGGUGCCAGCAGCCGCGGUAAUUCCAGCUCCGAUAGCGUAUAUUAAAGUUGUUGCGGUUAAAAAGCUCGUAGUUGGAUCUCAGUUCCAGACGGGUGGUCCGCCUACCGGUGGUUACUGCCUGAUCUGAACAGCCAGCCGGUUUCUCUUGAUGAUCUUCACCGGUUGUCUUGGGUGACCGGCAAGUUUACUUUGAAAAAAUUAGAGUGCUCAAAGCAGGCGUGACGCCUGAAUAAUGGUGCAUGGAAUAAUGGAAUAGGACCUCGGUUCUAUUUUGUUGGUUUUCGGAACACGAGGUAAUGAUUAAGAGGGACAGACGGGGGCAUUCGUAUUGCGACGCUAGAGGUGAAA
rnacentral:rRNA from 1 species